CCUAACACUAGAGGCAUUGCAGAUGUUGCUGCUCUGUCACAUGUGUGUCAGUAGGUGGUUGAGAAGACAAAGGCUUUGGCUGCUCAGUGUUCUGACCUAUGGACAUUUGAACGAUUAAGAGCCUAGCAUU
rnacentral:snoRNA from 1 species